CCUGUUUGAUCUUGAUAGUAGUCGUAUGCUUGUCUCAAAGAUUAAGCCACACAUGUCUAAUUAUGAACUAAUUAAGUCUAUGAAACAUUGGAUGGCUCAUUAGAUCAGUUAUAGUUUUUUUAUGGUACCAUACUACUUGGAUAAUCAUAACAAUUAUAGAGCUAAUAUGUGCACCAAGUCCUGACUCUUUGGAAGGGAUGAAUUUUUUAGAUAAAAGGUCGGCAUGGGCUUGCCCACUUCUUCAGUAAUCAUGAUAACUUAAUAGAUCGCACAACCCUUGUGUUGGCGAUGCUUCAUUCAAAUGUCUUCCCUAUCAACUUUUGAUGGUAGGAUAAAGGCCUACCAUGGUGGUGAUGGGUGACAGAUAAUUAGGGUUUGAUUUUGGAGAGGGAGCCUAAAAAUCAGCUACCACAUCCAAAGAAGGAAGCAGGCACGCAAAUUACCUAAUCUUGACAUGGGGAGGUAGUGACAAUAAAUAAAAAUACUAGGCUCAUCAAGUCUGGUAAUUGGAAUGAGUACAAUCUAGAUCCCUUAACAAGGAUCCAUUAGAGGACAAGUCUAGUGCCAUCAGUCAUGGUAACUCCAGCUCCAAUAACAUAUAUUUAAGUUGUUGCAGUUAAAAAUCCCAUAGUUGGAUCUUGGGUCGCAAUGGUCGGUCUACUUACUUGGUGUUCACCUCCCCUUCCAUCCCUUUUUUCGGCGAUGUGAUCCUAGCCUUAACUGGUUGAGUUGCAUCUCUGGCACUAAUACUUUGAAAAAGUUAAAGUGCUCAAAGAAAGAUUAUGCUCUAAAUAUAUUAGCAUGGAAUAAUGUGAUAGAAGUCUGGUCCUAUUGUGUUGGCCUUCGGGACCGAAGUAAUGAUUAAUAGGGACUGUCGGGGGUAUUCGUAUUUCAUUGUCAAAGGUGAAGUUCUUGGAUUUUUGAAAGACAAGCCACUUCGAAAGAAUUUUCCAAGGUUGUUUUCAUUAACCAAGAACAAGAGUUGGGGGCUUGAAGAUGAUCAAAUGUUGUCCUAGUCUCAACCAUAAACGAUGCCGACUAGGGAUUGGCGGAUGUUGUUGUAAGGACUCUGUCGGUACCUUCUGAGAAAUCAGAGUGUUUGGGUUUCACGGGGGGCUAUGCUCAUAAGGCUAAAACUUAAAGGAAUUGAUGGAAGGGCACCACCAAGAGUGGAGCCUGCGGCUUAAUUUGAAUCAACAUUGGGAAACUUACCAGGUCCAGACAUAGUAAGGAUUGAUAGGUUGACAUCUCUUUCUUGAUUUUAUGGGUGGUGGUGCAUGGCCUUUCUUAGUUGGUGGAGAAAUUUUUCUGGUUAACUCUGACAAUGAAUGAGACCUCGACCUGCUAACUAGCUACACGUAGGUUCCCCUUCACAUCUUGCUUCUUAGAGGGGCUAUGUUCGUUUAGGCCAUGGAAGUUUGAGGCAAUAAUAAGUCUGUGAUGACCUUAGAUGUUUUGGGUUGCACGCGCACUACAUUGAUGCAACCAAGGAAUUUUUCUUCUCGGUUCGAGAGGAUCAGGAAAUCUUCUCAAAUUGCAUCAUGAUAGGGAUAAACCAUUGCAAUUAUUGGUCUUCAACAACGAAUUCCUAGUAAUCGUGUGUCAUUAACACGUGUUGACUACAACCCUUCCCUUUGUACACACCUCUCAUCACUCCUACUGAUUGAAUGACCUAGUGAAGUGUUCAGAUUGUGUCAAUGAUGGUGGUUCGCCGAUGUCAACGUCGUGAGAAGUUCAUUGAACCUUAUCAUUUAUAGGAAGGAGAAUUCGUAACAAGGUUACCAUAGGUGAACCUACAGUAA
rnacentral:rRNA from 1 species